GACGUCGUUGUGUUGUUUACGAAUGGAUUUAAACAGAAAAGACCGGUAAAAAAAUAACAUCAACAGCGCCGCACAGGCUGGCCUGGGGACUCGGAGAGUCACUACAUUUUAUUGUAAUUCCUGCUAUUCCAGAUCCUGCUCAAUUGAGUGUGUUCUCAAGUGAUGGACGGUACACCAGAUACUGGAUGCUCAACUACUCCAGGAUCACCACAAGGAGUAAAACAGGAUGAAGGUGAAUCACCCAAAAGCCAUAAUACCUACAAUGGAUCACAGAAAAAUGAGAAGCGGGGUGAAAAGAAAACUGAGGAGCAGCGUGUGACUAAGAAGAGAGGCUGGCCAAAGGGCAAAAAACGUAAAAAGAAUAUACCCAAUGGUCCCAAAGCUCCACUGACAGGCUAUAUGCGAUUUUUGAAUGAACGGCGUGAGCAGUUGCGGGCACAGCAACCAGAUUUACCUUUUCCUGAAAUCACCAAAACUUUGGGCAGUGAAUGGAGCAAACUUCCACCUGAGGAUAAACAGUGCUACCUUGAUGAAGCUGAACGGGCAAAACAGCAAUACAUAAAAGAACUGCAGGAGUAUCAGAAAACUGAAGCUUAUAAAAUGAGCACAAUUGCUGUCCAGGAAAAGAAAUUGAGGAAAGAAUCUGCUCAUUCAAUGUCAAAUGGCAUGCAUACUGAGAAGAUCGACAGUGAGCAGCAAGGAAGAAUGUCCAUGUUUAAUAUUCCAAUAUUUACAGAAGAAUUUCUUGAUCAUAACAAAGCUCGAGAAGCAGAGUUGAGAAAAUUGCGCAAGACUAAUAUUGAAUAUGAGGAGCAGAACGCAGUCUUGCAGAAGCACAUUGACAACAUGAGAAGUGCCAAAGAGAAACUGGAAGAGGAGCUGGCUGAAGAACAGAACCAGAAUGUAACUCUACACAAACAUCUCGAGAAUUUGCGGCAGACGUUAACCAAUAGCUUCAGUAAUGUGUCUUUACCAGGAAGUGGAGAAAGUGUGACAUUAGACACAGUUGAUUCCUUUAUGACGAAACUUCACAGUAUUAUAGACGAAGACCCUCAACAGAAUGAGAAGCUUGUGAGAAAGGUGCAAGAGAUCGUAAGCAAUUUAGGCAACAGCGAUGGGCCUUAAAACAGCAUGAUUUUAAUCAGAGAAGAUGGUUCACAGAUGUCCAUGUUGGCUGCAAUCCCAGCUCCUUAUCUUCUUAGAAUUUAAUGAAGAGAUUGCUGCAGCUCCAUGAAGAAGGUGCUGCCGGACCUGCUGAGCUUUUUCAGCAACUUCUGUUUUUGUAUCAGCUGUAUUAACUUGCUGUUAUAGUGGUGAAAAGAAAUAGGAGCCUAUGGGAGAGGGAGACAGACUAGCUUGCCUGUUGGCUGUCUGAUUCUGUGAGGCUUCUCCCCAUUGUCCAGAGAGCAGAGGUCUGGGGGCAAACCAAACAUUUUCACCUCACUCGGAUAUUGGGAGCUACAGAUUUCAUUUUAGGGGUGAAAUAUUGUCUCAUAAUAUUGUUCUUAAAUGAUGUAUUAAUAUUUUAAUGAAAAUUACUAUUCUUUCUGGAAAACCAGCAUUGUAGUCAGGCACUUAUGAAGUUGUAUCACUGAUCCUCUUUCAUUAAUCUUCCUUUUUUCCAAGUGACUGCAAGGCGAACAGUUCAUUAAACAAAUGAUUCAGAAUUUUUUUAAAUUCAUAAAGCAGGGUAACUUUUACUGUUGGAAGUGGACCCUUGAAUUUGUUUUAAAAUGACACAUGAAGAGGAACAAGACAAAUCACUCUUGUGUUAAUGGGGAGAAUUAAAACUUAAGUUAAUUUGAUUAAGACUACUUAUAUGAUAAAAUAUAUAGGAAAAGUCCAAAAUAUUUUACUUAGCAUCCUGUGUUCUCAUGCAAUGUAUGAGUGAGGGUGCUGAUAUUUAAUUUCUGUUGAGCAGUAUGUUGUUUUGUGUUUUAAUAUUGCAGAGAAUAUAUGCAGUUUGGAUUCAUUUACUUUGCCUGUUGCAAGGUUUUGCCAUUUCAGUUAUCUAUGGUGAUAUAAGGUGUUUAAAACAACGUCAGAUAAAUUCCAGCAGUGUGUCAGCCCAUUGUGUCUCUUGCUGCUUGCUAUGUUGCUUUAUUUUUUCUGUACCCCUUUAAUUUGCUUCAGUCUUAAAUUACAAUCCCAAGUCUCCUGUGAGUGGUGAUCCCUGUCUCAGCAGUCACACUUUCUGAAACAUUAAUUACUUGUAUUAAUGAUUCUACAUGCAGCAAAAGUUAUACUUUACUAUUAAUUGUCUCAAAACCUUAAUUUUGAAAAUGUAUAAUGGAUCCCUCCACUUGUGUUUGUAGGAGUGGUGAGUGGGGAUGUCACCGUUUUCAGUCAUAACUAACAUCAUUCCUAAAGAAAUCGUGUAUAUUUUUCCUACCCUUUGUAUAAUAUCCUUCCAUUAAUGAGAAGUAUACAGCUUUGUGCCAGGUAAUCUAAUUGACGCUAACGUCAUUUGCAAGCUUCUACAUUUAAAUUCUCCAUGCCUUACUUCAAGCUGACAAUCUCAUUAAUCUGUUUAAUGUUUUCAUUUCUACUAACAAUCUAUGAAUCAUUCUGUGGGGUGUCAUGUGAUACAUUUUCCUCUUUACUGCUUUGGUGUAAAGCAGUCCAACUGUUUGGCACUGGGGCCACGUUUCAAUUUUGGUCUCACUAGGGCCGGUGAGCAUGUUUCAGAAACAUGAGGCUUGCAUCAAUUGUAAGCAUCAAUUUCAGGAAAAAAGAAUUACAAGCAAUAAAGUGUCAAACCAUGGAGCUAACUAAAGUUUGUUUUUCUUUGCCUUUUUGUUUGAGAAGCAGAUGAAAGGGUGAAAAAUCUGGAUUUCAAUUGCUGAUGGCCAGGAAGGGGAUCAGGACCUGGGCUGAUUGUAACUAAUACUGACCUUGGUUUGUGGUUGGCAGAGCACAUUUCCAAGUCAACCUUUGCAGAAUUCAUGUGAAAGUGGAGAUCAGAAGCAGGUUGCUUUUCUGUCCCAGGUUUUCCUCCUCUCUCCACCUCACCCAUUCACACAUGCUCAUUCUCUCACACACUUAACCCCCGAGCAUAGUUUUCAUAGUAAUUGUAAGUAGUAGUCCAAAUUGAAGGCUAAUGUUCCGGAAACUUGGAUUCAAAUACCUCCACGGCAGAUGGCAAAGGUAAAUCUGAGGUUAAAGCUGGUUAUGUGGCAUUUGUGUAACUAUUGUAAAAACCGAUUGGGUUCACUAAUGUCCUUCAGCAAAAGAAAUCCGUGUUCCUAUCUGGUCUGACCUGCAUGCGAGUCCACUUUAAUGUAAUUGACUCUUAACUUGCCUCUGAAGUACCUAGACAGUCACUCAGUUCAAGGAUAACUAGAAAUCGGCAACAAACUCUAGCCAUACCAGCAAUGCCCAUUUCUCAUACAAGAAUAAAAAAACCACCCACUCUUGACUCACCCAAAACCAUUGAUCCAUCCACUUGUUACCAUUCACUCAGUCACCCAUUUGCGCACACUCACCAGUGGUGCCACAAUGUUGCCUAUAUGACAUUUUUACCCAUUGUAGUUGAAACAAUAAAUGCUUCCUUUUGUAGGUUUUUGAUCCACACAAUAUGGUUUUUCACUCUGCCCAGGUAAAAAUUCCUGCUGAAUUGCUGGAAAGAAACACAAGCUGCUGUUUAGACACCUUCCCUUUCUAUUAUUUCCCAAACGUAUUGCUUUACAUUUUUUUCAUUUUAACUACAACUGCCAUCUGUCUGCCCAAUUUGCCUUUGCGGUGUCUUGACUCUCAACGUGACAGUUUAUCUUGUCCCUAAUUUGACAUGAUGACGAAUCUCUGUCAUUCUUGUGCCUAUUUCCAGAUCCUUUAGGUAUGUGCAGCUUCAGAUCUUUGCUUAAAAGAGGGAUAGUUUGAACAUAGUGGUGAAAUCCUCUAAAUGUACCUCGAUUACAUAAUGGAAAUAGAGUGCAAAGAGACUGAUUUUAUUACAUUACUUUUCAACAGGUAUAAACACUGCUGUAUAUGCUGUAGUGCAUACAUGACGAGUAAAAGAUGUGGCUACAUAGCAAGUGAUUUUUGAUUGUGACAGCAGUGUAAUCUUUGGGAUCAGUUGUAUGAUUACAAAGAUUCUUUUUUUAUUAAGUGAGAACACCAUUCAGUCUUGUGAUUGAUGUACUGUUCAAGGAAUGUAGUGUGUUUCAUUAAUUCCAGUUAAGUGAAUUUCUUUUGCUUCAUCAAGUUUACUGGUGUUUUUAUUAAC